rnacentral:RNase_P_RNA from 1 species
UAAGGCAAGCGGGUGAUCGUUGGUUUUGGUUUGGUAACGAAUUUGAAAAUCAGAGGAAAGUCCGGACUCCACGAGAGAAUGAUACCAGCUAACGGCUGGCCACGUCGGUCCGAAUAAAAUAGGACAGUUGAGGGAAAGUGUCACAGAGAAUAUACCGCCGGCCUCACGGCCGGUAAGGGUGAAAAGGCGAGGUAAGAGCUCACCCGCUUUCGUGGUAACACGAACUUGGAAAAACCCUAUCUGGAGCAAAGUCAAAUAGGAUGGCUAGGCUUUAAUGCCUAGAUGCGCUCUCGCAUCGCUAUUCGGGUAGACUGCUUGAGCCUAGUGGUGACGCUAGGCCUAGAUGAAUGAUCGCCGCUUGGGCAACCAAGUACAGGAUCCGGCUUACAGCUUGCCUUACAUU